rnacentral:rRNA from 1 species
AGGCACUACGGUGCUGAAGCGACAAAUGCCCUGCUUCCAGGAAAAGCCUCUAAGCAUCAGGUAACAUCAAAUCGUACCCCAAACCGACACAGGUGGUCAGGUAGAGAAUACCAAGGCGCUUGAGAGAACUCGGGUGAAGGAACUAGGCAAAAUGGUGCCGUAACUUCGGGAGAAGGCACGCUGAUAUGUAGGUGAAGCGACUUGCUCGUGGAGCUGAAAUCAGUCGAAGAUACCAGCUGGCUGCAACUGUUUAUUAAAAACACAGCACUGUGCAAACACGAAAGUGGACGUAUACGGUGUGACGCCUGCCCGGUGCCGGAAGGUUAAUUGAUGGGGUUAGCGGCAACGCGAAGCUCUUGAUCGAAGCCCCGGUAAACGGCGGCCGUAACUAUAACGGUCCUAAGGUAGCGAAAUUCCUUGUCGGGUAAGUUCCGACCUGCACGAAUGGCGUAAUGAUGGCCAGGCUGUCUCCACCCGAGACUCAGUGAAAUUGAACUCGCUGUGAAGAUGCAGUGUACCCGCGGCAAGACGGAAAGACCCCGUGAACCUUUACUAUAGCUUGACACUGAACAUUGAGCCUUGAUGUGUAGGAUAGGUGGGAGGCUUUGAAGUGUGGACGCCAGUCUGCAUGGAGCCGACCUUGAAAUACCACCCUUUAAUGUUUGAUGUUCUAACGUUGGCCCGUAAUCCGGGUUGCGGACAGUGUCUGGUGGGUAGUUUGACUGGGGCGGUCUCCUCCUAAAGAGUAACGGAGGAGCACGAAGGUUGGCUAAUCCUGGUCGGACAUCAGGAGGUUAGUGCAAUGGCAUAAGCCAGCUUGACUGCGAGCGUGACGGCGCGAGCAGGUGCGAAAGCAGGUCAUAGUGAUCCGGUGGUUCUGAAUGGAAGGGCCAUCGCUCAACGGAUAAAAGGUACUCCGGGGAUAACAGGCUGAUACCGCCCAAGAGUUCAUAUCGACGGCGGUGUUUGGCACCUCGAUGUCGGCUCAUCACAUCCUGGGGCUGAAGUAGGUCCCAAGGGUAUGGCUGUUCGCCAUUUAAAGUGGUACGCGAGCUGGGUUUAGAACGUCGUGAGACAGUUCGGUCCCUAUCUGCCGUGGGCGCUGGAGAACUGAGGGGGGCUGCUCCUAGUACGAGAGGACCGGAGUGGACGCAUCACUGGUGUUCGGGUUGUCAUGCCAAUGGCACUGCCCGGUAGCUAAAUGCGGAAGAGAUAAGUGCUGAAAGCAUCUAAGCACGAAACUUGCCCCGAGAUGAGUUCUCCCUGAGACUUAGAGUCUCCUGAAGGAACGUUGAAGACGACGACGUUGAUAGGCCGGGUGUGUAAGCGCAGCGAUGCGUUGAGCUAACCGGUACUAAUGAACCGUGAGGCUUAACCUUACAACGCCGAAG